rnacentral:rRNA from 1 species
UGGGGAAUUUUGGACAAUGGGGGAAACCCUGAUCCAGCCAUCCCGCGUGUGCGAUGAAGGCCUUCGGGUUGUAAAGCACUUUUGGCAGGAAAGAAACGUCGCGGGUUAAUACCCCGCGAAACUGGCGGUACCUGCAGAAUAAGCACCGGCUAACUACGUGCCAGCAGCCGCGGUAAUACGUAGGGUGCAAGCGUUAAUCGGAAUUACUGGGCGUAAAGCGUGCGCAGGCGGUUCGGAAAGAAAGAUGUGAAAUCCCAGAGCUUAACUUUGGAACUGCAUUUUUAACUACCGGGCUAGAGUGUGUCAGAGGGAGGUGGAAUUCCGCGUGUAGCAGUGAAAUGCGUAGAUAUGCGGAGGAACACCGAUGGCGAAGGCAGCCUCCUGGGAUAACACUGACGCUCAUGCACGAAAGCGUGGGGAGCAAACAGGAUUAGAUACCCUGGUAGUCCACGCCCUAAACGAUGUCAACUAGCUGUUGGGGCCUUCGGGCCUUGGUAGCGCAGCUAACGCGUGAAGUUGACCGCCUGGGGGAGUACGGUCGCAAGAUUAAAAACUCAAAAUGAAAUU